UAUAUACUCCCUCCGUCCGGAAAUACUUGUCAGACAAAUGGAUGUAUCUAGAUGUAUUUUAGUUGUAGAUACAUCUAUUUUUAUCCAUUUCUCCGACAAGUAUUUUGGGACGGAGGGAGUACAUA
rfam:Triticum aestivum genome assembly, contig: Triticum_aestivum_CS42_TGACv1_scaffold_592333_7BS